AUCAAUGGGGACAUUGGGACAUUGGGGGACAUUGAGGACAUUGGGGGACAUUGGGGACACCAUUGGGGACAUCAAUGGGGACAUUGGGACAUUGGGACAUUGGGGACAGCAUUGGGGACAUCAUUGGGACAUUGGGACAUUGGGGACAGCAGUGGGGACAUCAUUGGGGACAUCAUUGGGACAUUGGGGACAUCAUUGGGGACAUUGGGACAUUGGGGACAUCAUUGGGGACACCAUUGGGGACAUUGGGGACAUUGGGGGACACUGAGGACAUUGAGGACAUUGUCACCAAACCCCCCAGAUGCCACCAAACCCCCUGAGAUGUCACCUCCAGGUGCCACCAAACCCCCUGAGGUGUCACCUCCCGGUGUCCCCCCGCCCCUGGGGACAGCGCGGGGUGGCACCGACCUUCUCGGUGACGUACUGGCACGUCUUGAGGUCGUGGUCACCGUCAGGGAGGAUCUCGGGCUCCACGAUGGGGACAAUGCCGUUCUGGGGACACGGUGGGGACAUGUCAGCCACCAGGGGACAUUUGGGGACAUCGGGGACAUUGGGGACAGCGGGGACAUCGGGGACAUGUCAGCAACCAGGGGACAUCGGGGACAGUGGGGACAUUGGGGACAUUGGGGACAGCAGGAGGGGAGCCCAGGGCACUGAGAUGCCACCAAAGCCUCUCCAGAUGAACCAAACCCAGCCUGGGUGUCACCAAACAUCCCUAAGUGUCACCAAACCCUCUCUAGAUGCCACCAAACCUGGUCCAGAUGCCACCAAACCCUCUCGAGAUGGACCAAACUCUCUCCAGAUGCCACCAAACCCUCUCUAGAUGGACCAAACCAUCCCUAGGUGGCACCAAACUCCUUCCAGAUGGCACCAAACCCCCUCUAGAUGCCACCAAACCCUGUCCAGAUGCCACCAAACCUUCUCCAGGCGCCACGAGACAUGGUCUAGAUGUCACCAAAUGUGGUCUAGAUCCCUUAAACCCUCUCCAGAUGUCUCCAAACCCUCUCUGGUGCCACCAGAUCUGGUCUAGAUGCCACCAAACCAUCCCUAAGUGCCACCAAACCCCCUCCAGAUGCCACCAAACCCUCUACAAGUGACACCAAACCCAGCCCAGAUGGACCAAACUCUCUCCAAGUGUCACCAAACCUGGUCUAGAUGCCACCAAAUGUGGUCUAGAUCCCUUAAACCCCCUCCAGAUGCCACCAAACCCUUCCUAGAUGUCCCCAAACCCCCUCCAGAUGCCACCAAACCCUCUCUAGAUGGACCAAACCAUCCCUAGGUGGCACCAAACCCUCUCCAGGUGCCACCAAACCUGGUCUAGAUGUCCCCAAACCCCCUCUAGAUGCCACCAAACCAUCCUUAAGUGCCACCAAACCCCCUCCAGAUGCCACCUGUUGGUGUCCCCUGCCCUGCCGCUCCCUGCCCGCCCCCUUGGGGACAGUUGGGGACAGUUGGGGACAGUUGGGGACAGUUGGGGACAGUGUGUGACAGUUUUGGUGACAUUGGUGACCUGCUGGCAGAUGCUGCCGUAGCGCGCCAGCACGUUGGCGUUCUCCAUGGAGCUGAGUCACCUCCUGGUGUCCCCAAACCCAGCCCAGAUGCCACCAAACCCCCUCCAAGUGCCACCAAACCUGGUCUAGAUGCCACCAAAUGUGGUCUAGAUCCCUUAAAUCCUCUCCAAGUGCCACCAAACCCUUCCUAGGUGCCACCAAACCCCCUCUAGAUGCCACCAAACCAUCCCU
rnacentral:lncRNA from 1 species